rnacentral:tRNA from 1 species
UGGGGUGUCGUCCAAUGGCAGGACUCGGGAUUUUGGUUCCCGCUAUCGAGGUUCGAAUCCUCGCACCCCAGCCA